GACAGUUCGGUCCCUAUCCGUCGUGGGCGUAGGAAAUUUGAGAGGAGCUGUCCUUAGUACGAGAGGACCGGGAUGGACAUACCUCUGGUGUACCAGUUGUCGUGCCAACGGCAUAGCUGGGUAGCUAUGUAUGGACGGGAUAAGUGCUGAAAGCAUCUAAGCAUGAAGCCCCCCUCAAGAUGAGAUUUCCCAACUUCGGUUAUAAGAUCCCUCGAAGAUGACGAGGUUAAUAGGUUCGAGGUGGAAGCGUGGUGACACGUGGAGCUGACGAAUACUAAUCGAUCGAAGACUUAAUCAA
rnacentral:rRNA from 1 species